GUAGCUAAAAGCCAAUGGAAAAGCUAGUGACUGGCAGUCACGAGGUCGGCGGUUCGAUCCCGCCUAGCUCCACCA
rnacentral:tRNA from 1 species